GACUGCAAUGUAGCUUGCUAUGUUGUUGUUAGUGGCAGACGGGUGAGUAAUGCGUAGGAACCUACCUAAUAGUAUGGGAUAGCUGUUGGAAACGACUGGUAAUACCAUAUAUUCCCUAUGGGGGAAAGAUUUAUCGCUAUUAGAUGGGCCUGCGUUGGAUUAGCUAGUUGGUGGGGUAAUGGCCUACCAAGGCUACGAUCUAUAGCUGGUUUGAGAGGAUGAUCAGCCACACUGGAACUGAGAUACGGUCCAGACUCCUACGGGAGGCAGCAGUGGGGAAUAUUGGACAAUGGGCGAAAGCCUGAUCCAGCCAUGCCGCAUGAGUGAAGAAGGCCUUAGGGUUGUAAAGCUCUUUUAGUGGGGAAGAUAAUGACGGUACCCACAGAAGAAGUCCCGGCUAACUCCGUGCCAGCAGCCGCGGUAAUACGGAGGGGGCAAGCGUUGUUCGGAAUUAUUGGGCGUAAAGGGCACGUAGGCGGUUUAGUUAGUUAAGAGUUAAAGACCGAGGCUCAACCUCGGGGGUGCUCUUAAUACUGCUAAGCUAGAGGUCGAA
rnacentral:rRNA from 1 species